GACGAACGCUGGCGGCGUGCUUAACACAUGCAAGUCGAACGGAAAGGCCCUGCUGUUGUUGGUUGCUCGAGUGGCGAACGGGUGAGUAACACGUGAGUAACCUGCCCUUGACUUUGGGAUAACUUCAGGAAACUGGUGCUAAUACCGGAUAGGAGCUCCUGCUGCAUGGUGGGGGUUGGAAAGUUUGGGCGGUUGGGGAUGGACUCGCGGCUUAUCAGCUUGUUGGUGGGGUAGUGGCGUACCAAGGCUUUGACGGGUAGCCGGCCUGAGAGGGUGACCGGCCACAUUGGGACUGAGCUACGGCCCAGACUCCUACGGGAGGCAGCAGUGGGGAAUAUUGCACAAUGGGCGGAAGCCUGAUGCAGCACCGCCGCGUGCGGGAUGACGGCCUUCGUGUUGUAAACCGCUUUCGCCUGUGACGAAGCGUGAGUGACGGUAAUGGGUAAAGAAGCACCGGCUAACUACGUG
rnacentral:rRNA from 1 species